AUACAUGCAAGUCGAGCGAAUGGAUUGAGAGCUUGCUCUCAAGAAGUUAGCGGCGGACGGGUGAGUAACACGUGGGUAACCUGCCCAUAAGACUGGGAUAACUCCGGGAAACCGGGGCUAAUACCGGAUAAUAUUUUGAACUGCAUGGUUCGAAAUUGAAAGGCGGCUUCGGCUGUCACUUAUGGAUGGACCCGCGUCGCAUUAGCUAGUUGGUGAGGUAACGGCUCACCAAGGCAACGAUGCGUAGCCGACCUGAGAGGGUGAUCGGCCACACUGGGACUGAGACACGGCCCAGACUCCUACGGGAGGCAGCAGUAGGGAAUCUUCCGCAAUGGACGAAAGUCUGACGGAGCAACGCCGCGUGAGUGAUGAAGGCUUUCGGGUCGUAAAACUCUGUUGUUAGGGAAGAACAAGUGCUA
rnacentral:rRNA from 1 species